AAGUUGGGAGUAGCUCGAAUGGUAAGCUCCCUUCACCUCCAACCCUAUGAUUGUGGGUUCGAGUCAAGAAGCAAAAAGGAUGGGAGUUCCUAGAGACGGGUGAAAAAAUGGAUUUUUAUUCUUUCAAGAAGAGCUAAGAGUUGAGUGAUUGCAAAAUGCAAAUUAUACACCUUGAAAUGAAGCAAAAUCGUAACAACUAUGUAUGACUGAAAGAAGGAUAGCAAUAUUUUGACAACCUAUGUUGCUCCGACUCUU